rnacentral:rRNA from 1 species
AAUCAACGCUGGCGGCGUGCCUAACACAUGCAAGUCGAGCGAGAAAGGGGCUUCGGCCCUGAGUAAAGCGGCGCACGGGUGAGUAACACGUGGGUAAUCUGCCCUAGAGUGGGGAAUAACGUCGGGAAACCGACGCUAAUACCGCAUACGAUCAUUGGGUCUUCGGAUUCGAUGAUGAAAGGAGCAAUCCGCUCUUGGAGGAGCCCGCGGCUGAUUAGCUAGUUGGAAGGUAAUGGCUUACCAAGGCAACGAUCAGUAUCCGGUCUGAGAGGACGGUCGGACACACUGGAACUGAGACACGGUCCAGACUCCUACGGGAGGCAGCAGUGGGGAAUUUUUCGCAAUGGGGGAAACCCUGACGAAGCAACGCCGCGUGGAUGAUGAAGUAUCUUGGUACGUAAAAUCCUUUCGACGGGGAAGAAAGCCGCAAGGUUUUGACGGUACCCGUAGAAGAAGCCCCGGCUAACUCCGUGCCAGCCGCCGCUGUAAG